CCCUCAUGUUAUACUUGUGUCUGCUGUGCCAGCUGUUGAGAUGGAGGGAGAGCCGAGGCAGGCAGUGCCUGCAGCCCUUCCAGGCCUCAGCUGGGGAAUGAGCUUACUGCUGGGAUUGCUGGCAAUGACAGCCAUACACCCGCUGUUUCCUCACAUGCAACUCCCCUUGUGUGCGGCCAAACUGACACGUUUCCCUAGAGCUGCCCAGGAAGUGUGUCAACCCAGAGGAGUAUAAAAGCCCACUAUCCCUGAGGGCUGCCAGCCCUUUAUGAAGAUGAAGGUCCUAAGAAGGCUCAUUUUCUUGGCUCUUUUAAUCACCUCAUGUCUGGUAGAACUGAAUGUGUCUGAGGCUGAAGGCAGAUCAAGCUGCAAUGCCAGCCUGGGAGGGGCCAAUCUGGCAGAUACACACAAGGCCCUGGUCCUGCAACUCAAUGCCAAUGAGAACUGCACGUGGACAAUAGAAAAACCAGAAAACAAGAGCAUCAGACUCCUCUUCUCCCACAUCCAGUAAGUACAAUCAUCAGCUUCUCAAGAAGAGAAUUCUGGCCACAGAAUUCAGCUGCUGCAAGAGGUGAUAGAGAUGGUGGCAAUUCCCAUGAUAAUGAUAUUGAUGGUGGUGAUGAUAAUGUUUGACAGUCCUUGAUGAGGAUGACGAUGUUGGUGGUGAGUGGUAGUCACUGCUGACAACUGCAUGCCUCCACUGGCUCACAGAGCUCCCGUGAGGUCAUUAAGACACGGGAAGGUUGAAAAUGCUGAGGUCACCACGGUGAGUGAAAUGAUUAGGGUUAGUAAUCAGCUAGUCUAGUUCCGAUUCUACGUCUGGAAACAGUAAACUUGUGAUUCUUAAUUACCUAACAGUCUCUGGAGAUAGGACCCAGGCAUCAGUAUUUUUACUUAAACAUUUUAUAAGUGACUUUUUCUCUUCUGGUACUGGAGAUUGAACUCAGGACCUUGCAUUUC
rnacentral:lncRNA from 1 species